rnacentral:lncRNA from 1 species
AGACAGGCUCAGAGAAGUCACCUGUGCUGGUCACUCAUUUACUUCUGACAUACUACAGGCUCCAGGCUAAAACAUCACUGGCCUCAAACAUGGGCUAUGUGGCUAUGUGGGGACAACCUGUCUGAAAACAUUAGACUGCACCCAACAAGUGCAACUUGACUGAGGAUGGAAAUGGAAAACAGAGUAGUCACACUCACAGCUGACCACUGCUGUCUAAAAGCAUCCUCUUGGGGCCAGUUCAGGAGAAAAGUGUUCUCCAUGUGUCGUCAAAGACAUGACAGCCUGUCCAUAGUCCCAGUGCUCAGGAAGUGGAGAUCCCAGGAACAAACCGGCUAGCUAGACUGACCAACCAAACAUGGUGAACUCUGAAUUCAGUGAGAUCUCGCAUGAAUAAAAAAGGUUUUCUUGUGGAUUCACCUGUAUAGGGGAGCCACUGGACAACUCAGCACAUACAUCUCACGGGCCUCCCACAUCUUGCUAGGCACCCAAUUUUCUGACCUGCCAGGCAUGCCCUAACCUAGUAGUACAACUGAUUCUCCUUAGCAUACAGGACAGCUUGGAGGAGGCAAACUGGAAAGAACAGAGGAGCAAGCAGCUGCUGACUCAAAGGACCCAGGCAUCCUGUCUGGAGCAUGCGCCUGGAGCAUGCACCUCCCAAAGACAGCCCCUAGUCCAGGGUCUGUGGUGGAUGCUCAAACUAUUAAAGCUAGUGAC